CCUUACGGCCGCGGCGGGCCCUUUGGCCUCCCGCCCUCCUUUGAAUUUUGGCGGCGGAGGCCUUGUGGCGGCGGCUGCUGCGCGCCGCGGGGAGCCUUCCGGCCGCGGCGGGCCCUUUGGUGCGCCGGCCUAGCGGGGGCAGCGGCGGCAGCGGGACGCGAGGGGCCUUGGGGCCGCGGCGAGGCUCGGAAGGCCUUCCGGCCACGGCGAGGCCUUUGAUGGGCCGGCCUCGCGGCUGCGACGAGGCACAUGGGGACUUCCAGCGGCGGCGAGGCACGGGAGGACUUUCAGCCGCGGUGAGGCCUCUGAUGGGCCGGCCUUGCGGCUGCGACGAGACGCCAUGAAAGGUGACUGGAGACAUAAGGACCCUGCUGUGACCCUGCUUCCAAAAAAGUAGGACCCUGGACAACUACACCCCUGGAUGACAAGGGAAUCAAAGGUGUGAUAAAAGAAGAUAAGGAGAUUGCAGGGAAGCUGAAUGAAUCCUUUGCAUAUGUCUUCACAGCAGAAGAUAUAGGACAAAUCCCUGUGCCUGAACUAUUUUUUGCAGAAAGGGAGUCACCAGAUCUGGAUGGCAUCCACCCGAGACUUCUCAAAGAACUCAAAUGUGAAAUUCCUGAUCUUCUGACAAAAAUAUGUAACUUGUAUUUAAGAUCUGCCUCCAUACCUGUGGGUGUAGCAGUGAACACACUGGAGGGAUCCUGGAAAUUACAGGAGUGUCUGCUCCAAGUCCAGUGGAAAGAUGAAGAACCGCAAGAAGGGGAAGCAGCAGCCUUGAAUUUGACCACCAGCAGCUAGCAGUGCCUGGACAGCAAUCACACAGGUCACCUGGUCAGUCUUCCUC